rnacentral:rRNA from 1 species
UACGAAGGGGGCUAGCGUUGCUCGGAAUCACUGGGCGUAAAGCGCACGUAGGCGGAUCUUUAAGUCAGGGGUGAAAUCCUGGAGCUCAACUCCAGAACUGCCUUUGAUACUGGGAUCUCGAGUCCGGGAGAGGUGAGUGGAACUGCGAGUGUAGGAGGUGAAAUUCGUAGAUAUUCGCAAGAACACCAGUGGCGAAGGCGGCUCACUGGCCCGGUACUGACGCUGAGGUGCGAAAGCGUGGGAGC